rnacentral:lncRNA from 1 species
CAGCAGGAGGAUUUGUGAGCUUUGGAGCUGCGAAUCUUGAAAAAUGCAGCGGCGGCGGCCAUACUGUAGCCCUGGAGACCCGCCGAGGCAAACGGCUUAUCGUUUGAUGCAGGGACCGCCGGCGCCUUGACUCAGAACCAAGGCACAGUAGAGGAAUAGAGAAGGGAUAAAAGAUGAGAGAAUGACACGUGGGCCCAUUUACAAAGGACACAAUAGACCAUUCACAACAAAAGCUCUCAUUCUUGGAGCUGGAGCUACCGCAUCAGCCAAACAUGUAGAGCAACUCCACAUUUUCU